rnacentral:rRNA from 1 species
AGUGGGUAGUCGCACGAGCGCACCUUAUUUUAGUUGCCAUCAUUUAGUUGGGCACUCUGAAAGAACUGCCAGUGAUAAGCUGGAGGAAGGUGGGGAUGACGUCAAGUCCUCAUGGCCCUUACGUGUUGGGCUACACACGUGCUACAAUGGUAUCUACAACAGGAAGCAAAACAGCGAUGUUAAGCAAAUCCCGAAAAGAUACUUCAGUUCGGAUUGCACUCUGCAACUCGAGUGCAUGAAGCUGGAAUUACUAGUAAUCGUGGAUCAGCGUGCCACGGUGAAUACGUUCCCGGGCCUUGUACACACCGCCCGUCACACCACGGGAGCCGACAAGGGCAGAAGUCGCCGAGCUAACCUUCGGGAAGCAGGCGCCCAAGCUGUUGUUGACGACUGGGGUGAAGACGUAACAAGGUAGCCGUAGGAGAACCUGCGGCUGGAUCACCUCCUUUCU